UACAGAGGUCCCAAGCGUUGUUCGGAUUCACUGGGCGUAAAGGGUGCGUAGGUGGUUGGGCAAGUCUGAUGUGAAAUCUCCGGGCUUAACCCGGAAAUGGCAUUGGAAACUGCCCGGCUAGAGUGUUGGAGGGGGGACUGGAAUUCUCGGUGUAGCAGUGAAAUGCGUAGAUAUCGAGAGGAACACCAGUGGCGAAGGCGAGUCCCUGGACAACUACUAACACUGAGGCACGAAAGCUAGGGGAGCAAACAGG
rnacentral:rRNA from 1 species